ensembl:lncRNA
GAAAGUCUGAUGUACAUCACUAACUGAACAUGAGCGUCAGCCUGAACAAUGGAAUGAAAGAAAUGGCAAAUGGCAGCAGCAACUGUUUACCAGCCUCUCAAUGUGAAACUGCUUCAAGAUUGAAGAUGUUGAGGUGGUGUGAUUGAUCUUUCUCAAGUCUGGAGAGAAAAGCGUGGACUUCUACUUGGUGUGAAGUUCUGGCUCUCACUACUCACAGUAGAUGCUCAAACCACCUUGUUCUUUAUGAAUAAAAGAUGGAACAGAUGGUAAGGGGGAGGAAUGUGAGUGGCUGAACACAGCAUUGACGGGUAAUUGAAACAAGGAAAA